rnacentral:rRNA from 1 species
UCCUACGGGAGGCAGCAGUGAGGAAUAUUGGUCAAUGGGGGAGAUCCUGAACCAGCCAAGCCGCGUGAGGGAAGACGGCCCUAUGGGUUGUAAACCUCUUUUGUCGGAGAACAAAACCCGGGACGAGUCCCGGACUGCGUGUAUCCGAAGAAAAAGCAUCGGCUAACUCCGUGCCAGCAGCCGCGGUAAUACGGAGGAUGCGAGCGUUAUCCGGAUAUAUUGGGCGUAAAGCGAGUGCAGGCGGUUCAAUAAGUCUGAUGUGAAAGCCUUCGGCGCAACCGGAGAAUUGCAUCAGAAACUGUUGA